rnacentral:lncRNA from 1 species
GCUGGAGUUUAUUGGAUGUUUGUGUUGUUCCCCAUGAAGACAUGAUGGCUUAACAUUUGUUCUGAGAGCCUCUGUUUGAGGAUUUACUUGUUGCUGGUUUAUCUCUUCAUUGUGAAGAUUGAAGACUGGUUUGAGUUCUUUAAUCUACUCUUUGUUGCCCUGUUUUAGACAGGUGAUUAGCCAUAUUGGCUUUGUUGCAUUUAUGCUAUAUCUUGAGCAGGUUAUAUUUGCUUGCUUUCUCGAUUGAUUAGUUGGUUUUUUUGAUGUACUUUUGUAUAGCUUAUCCCAAGCUAGAAGUGUUGUGAACACCUUCUAGCUUGCGGGAGGGUGUUAAAGAUAUAGUUAGUUAGUAAUUAGGAGGAUUAGUUAGUAGUUUCUUGAUGCCUAUAUAUAGGCUUUGAUGUAAUCUUUUACACUCACUUUUCUCAUUUUGUAAUAUUUUUCCUUGAUCAAUAUUAUACACUUUUGAGCUA